UCACAACAAGGAGGAGUUGUCACGACAAUGUGCAGAGAUCAAGCGGGCCAAUAUUUGGGAUCUUCGGCUGUAGUCUUCCGAGGAAUCAAUGACCCUUUAAUUCUGGAAACUUUUGCAUGUCGUGAAGCAUUAUCGCUAGCAGAUGAUCUGGCCGUCCAAAAUAUAUGUGUUGCUUCGGAUUGCCAAGAAGCGGUUAACGACAUUACAAAGGGGACAGGAGGUCCAAAUGCGGCUAACGUACAUGAAAUAUCAAGCCGAUGUAAUGCUUUCAAUUCCAGUUCUUUUAUUUUUGAGCGUAGGAAUUUUAAUUUUGAGGCUCAUAAUCUUGCCAAGUUUGCUUGUAACCUAGGCGUAGGUAGGCAUGUGUGGUUGGGAAAUCCUCAUGACCCAAACCUUGUACCUAAGACCAUGGUUUUGAAUGAAUAA
rnacentral:rRNA from 1 species